CACGUAGGCACCAAGCGUUGUCCGGAUUUAUUGGGCGUAAAGAGCUCGUAGGCGGUUCAGUAAGUCGGGUGUGAAAACUCUGGGCUCAACCCAGAGACGCCACCCGAUACUGCUGUGACUUGAGUACGGUAGGGGAGUGGGGAAUUCCUGGUGUAGCGGUGAAAUGCGCAGAUAUCAGGAGGAACACCAGUGGCGAAGGCGCCACUCUGGGCCGUAACUGACGCUGAGGAGCGAAAGCGUGGGUAGCAAACAGG
rnacentral:rRNA from 3 species